GACGAACGCUGGCGGCGCGCCUAACACAUGCAAGUCGAGCGGAGAUACUUGAAGGAAGUUUUCGGAUGGAGUUUGAGUAUUUUAGCGGCGGACGGGUGAGUAACGCGUGAGUGACCUGCCUUCCACAGGGGGAUAACGUACCGAAAGGUACACUAAUACCGCAUGAGACCACAGCACUGCCUGGUGCAGGGGUCAAAGGAGCAAUCCGGUGGAAGAUGGACUCGCGUCCGAUUAGAUAGUUGGUGGGGUAACGGCCUACCAAGUCAGCGAUCGGUAGCCGACCUGAGAGGGUGAUCGGCCACAUUGGAACUGAGAGACGGUCCAAACUCCUUCGGGAGGCAGCAGUGGGGAAUAUUGGGCAAUGGGGGAAACCCUGACCCAGCGACGCCGCGUGAGGGAAGAAGGUUUUCGGAUUGUAAACCUCUGUUCUUGGUGAAGAGGGAAAGACGGUAGCCAAGGAGGAAGCCCCGGCUAACUACGUGCCAGCCGCCGCAGUAA
rnacentral:rRNA from 1 species